AUUGAACGCUGGCGGCAAGCUUAACACAUGCAAGUCGAGCGGGGUGAGGUGCUUAGGUACUGAUCCUAGAGGUGGACGGGUGAGUAAUGCUUAGGAAUAUGCCAUUUAGUGGUGGACAAGAUUCUGACAGGAAUGCUAAUACCGCAGACGUCGUACGGGAGAAAGCAGGGGAACGUCGGUCCUUGCGCUAAAUGAUGAGCCUAAGUCGGAUUAGUUAGUUGGUGGGGUAAAGGCGUACAAAGGCGACGAUCUGUCGCGGGUCUGAGAGGAGGAUCCGCCACACUGGGACUGAGACACGGCCCAGAGUCCUACGGGAGGCAGCAGUGGGGAAUAUUGGACAAUGGGCGGAAGCCUGAUCCAGCCAUGCCGCGUGUGUGAAGAAGGCCUUUUGGUUGUAAAGCACUUUAAGCGAGGAGGAGGCUACCUGGAUUAAUACUCUGGGAUAGUGGACGUUACUCGCAGAGUAAGCACCGGCUAACUCUGUGCCAGCAGCCGCCGUAA
rnacentral:rRNA from 1 species